rnacentral:lncRNA from 1 species
CGCUGGCGACCCGUGGGGCUCCUCUGCUGGGAAUCUCCUGGUGCGUGAGCAACAAGAAUUCAUGUGAAGGUGUGGCGUCCUCUCAUUCUUUGUGUUUUCAGUGGGAGCUACAAUCCCGAGCUGCUAGUGAUCAGCCAUCUUGGAUCUCCUAAGCAGUGGAUUAAAUCUGUCCCCAGAAAACUCAGGAAUAGUCCCCCGUGGUUGUUCCCUCCCCUCUCAACAUGUCAGCCACAAGAGCGCAGGAUCACACCAGCAGGAGGCGAGCAAGGUCGGAUUGUCCAAGUACGUUCAUUUACAUUUGGGUUUUGUGAUGGAG